UACGUAGGGUGCGAGCGUUAAUCGGAAUUACUGGGCGUAAAGCGUGCGCAGGCGGUUUUGUAAGCCAGAUGUGAAAUCCCCGGGCUUAACCUGGGAAUGGCAUUUGGGACUGCAAGGCUUGAGUGCGGCAGAGGAGACUGGAAUUCCUGGUGUAGCAGUGAAAUGCGUAGAUAUCAGGAGGAAUACCGAUGGCGAAGGCAGGUCUCUGGGCUGACACUGACGCUCAUGCACGAAAGCGUGGGUAGC
rnacentral:rRNA from 1 species